AUGAGCUGCAGUCACUCUUUAGAUUAUCACAUUUGUAAGCUAGACCCGUUUGAAAGAAGGAUCUCCAAUCUUAUUGCAAAACUUAGAAACAUCUACGAGAAAUUAAAAAAUACAGAGGUGUCUCCCUGGAGCGUGUGUUUUGCAGGAGCAGAGCAGGGAGGGCACAGUGGACUGCCAAAGGGCACACUGCUAGAGGUACUCAAAAGGGUCCAGCGUUUGACAUACUGACACAGGCUUUCCUACAACAAAGCCUCUAACAAAAUUAGGCUGUCCCGAAUCCCUGGUAAUAGCAUUGUUUACCUUUAUACCAAGAAGGUUGGGAAAGCACCAAAAUCUGCAUAUGGCAUGUGCCCAGGCAGACUUUGAGGGGUUCGUGCUAUAAGAUCUAAAGUUCUUAUGAGAUUGUCCAAAACAAACAAACAUGUCGGCAGGGCCUAUGGUGGUUCCAUGUGUGCUAAAUGUGUUCAUGACAGGAUCAAGCAUGCAUUCCUUAUUGAGGAGCAGAAAAUCGUUGUGAAAGUGUUGAAGGCGCAAGCACAGAGUCAGAAAGCUAAAUAAAAAAUGAAACUUUUUUGAA